rnacentral:rRNA from 1 species
AUGGCGACCGGCGCACGGGUGAGUAACACGUAUCCAACCUGCCGAUAACUCGGGGAUAGCCUUUCGAAAGAAAGAUUAAUACCCGAUGGCAUAAUUAGACCGCAUGGUCUUAUUAUUAAAGAAUUUCGGUUAUCGAUGGGGAUGCGUUCCAUUAGGCAGUUGGUGAGGUAACGGCUCACCAAACCUUCGAUGGAUAGGGGUUCUGAGAGGAAGGUCCCCCACAUUGGAGCUGAGACACGGUCCAA